AACUCCUCAAACUACUUGCUUUUGAUUUGUUUCUAGCCUCUAAUGAUCAUACACUAAGUCCUUAGUUAGAUGCCUAACACGGAAAUGGGACUAGGUGGCCUUUAGGCUUGAUUUUGGAGUUUACUCCCCAAGAACGUUCUUGGGCGGUAAACUCCCGGAUCUUGUGUUUUGGACAUGUAAACAAUGUUAUAAAGCAUAUAACAAGUAUUAAAACACAUUUAGGGAAGUAGACUCACAAUCUGGGAUGAAAACCCGAAGAUCCGUGAGAGAGUAUUUGGCUUUUCUCUAAAUGGAAAUCAAAUAAUGAACCAAUUUGGUUCAGAAUUCUAUUUAUAGUCCAGAGAUUUUUGGCAGAAAAUAUUUCUAUUCUCGGAAUGGAUUCUAAUGACCUAGAGUAAUGGAAUUACAGUGUUGCACAAAAUCCUAGUGCACCCACUCUCCUAAUAACUCCUUAGGUGUAAAACCCUAAAACUGCCAAACUUAUUCCAAAAGUUUGAAUUUUCACUGAAACUGCUCUACUUCCAUUGGAUUGAUGUGGUUUGAUUUGAAUGGAAAAUUUCGGGUUGUCACAGUUAAGGGGUAUGAACUCACCUGCAGUAUGUGACUGGAAUUGAACGGGCUGUUAUCGUACGGAAGGAUCAGACAAGUGCUUGGUGUCAAGUGAAGACUUAGACACACACAAUGAUCCUAAUUACAUAUGAAACAUAUGUAUAUAAAUAAUUAGUGAUUAUAACACUAAUUAUACAAGUAAUAACAUUUAAGCGCGAGGACAACACUUUUGGUCAAGUGCUAGGAGGCUAAUGGGUUGCAACAAAGAAGUGCAAUGCCCCUAAUGAAAGUUUAAGGUCAAAAGACCAUAUUCAUUAGAGUUUACGGCCCAGGGGAGUAAGCUCCUGGCCGUAAACUCUCAAACAAGUCAUGAAAUGGAGUUUAAAAGUACUACAACCUUAGAGGGGAAUUGUUUCAAGGCUAUACAAGUGUUUGGGCACCACAUUGACUCCUUUGGGGAGUUUACGGCCCAAAGACCCUUCUCCCUUGGAGUUUACGGCCGUAAACUCCCUUGGGAGGGUUCUUAUUGUCCUUUCAAGUCUCUAACAUUUCUAGGAACAAGUCUAGGCUUCAAUACUUGGAUCAAGGGAGGUUUAUGGCAUUAAAUGGAACCAUUUGAUGGAGUUUACGGCCAUAGAACUCUUUGGGCCGUAAACUCCCUCACACAUGAGGUUCUAAGAAUUUUAACUAGCCCAAAACUCAUCUAGGUACUUGCCCUAAAAGUCUCUUGGCCUAAGGAAGUGUCUAGGGUGUCCUUUGACCCCUUUAAAGGAGUUUACGGCCCAAGAAAUACUCUUGGCCGUAAACUCUUCAACACUUGAGCUUUUCAUGAUUUUUCUAGGUCCUAAACACAUUAAGGUACUAGCCAAAAAUGAAGACUAAGCCUUAGGAAGAGUUUGAAGUGGUUUUGGCACUUAAUCUUGGAGUUUACGGCCUAAGGAGCAUCUUGGCCGUAAACUCCCUUCCAAAGUUGGUUUCUAAUUGUUUUGUGGGUCUAAAUCAUGAGUUUAAGGCUUCUAGGUUCUUGUUCUAAGGCUAAAGGAACACUAGGCACUCAUUUGUGCCCUUUACUUGGAGUUUACGGCCCAAGAGGUUGUUCCUUGGCCGUAAACUCCUCAAACUACUUGCUUUUGAUUUGUUUCUAGCCUCUAAUGAUCAUACACUAAGUCCUUAGUUAGAUGCCUAACACGGAAAUGGGACUAGGUGGCCUUUAGGCUUGAUUUUGGAGUUUACUCCCCAAGAACGUUCUUGGGCGGUAAACUCCCGGAUCUUGUGUUUUGGACAUGUAAACAAUGUUAUAAAGCAUAUAACAAGUAUUAAAACACAUUUAGGGAAGUAGACUCACAAUCUGGGAUGAAAACCCGAAGAUCCGUGAGAGAGUAUUUGGCUUUUCUCUAAUUGGAAAUCAAAUAAUGAACCAAUUUGGUUCAGAAUUCUAUUUAUAGUCCAGAGAUUUUUGUUAGAAAAUAUUUCUAUUCUCGAAAUGGAUUCUAAUGACCUAGAGUAAUGGAUUUACAGUGUUGCACAAAAUCCUAGUGCAACCACUAUCCUAAUAACUCCUUAGGUGUAAAACCCUAAAACUGCCAAACUUAUUCCAAAAGUUUGAAUUCUCACUGAAACUGCUCUACUACUAUUGGAUUGAUGUGGUUUGAUUUGAAUGGAAAAUUUCGGGUUGUCACAUCAUCCCCCUGUUAAAGGGAAUUUCGUCCCGAAGUUAGAAUUUAGGCAAGGAAGUAUGCACGAAUGAUCGAGACGUGAGAAGGAAACUUCCUAAUCG
rnacentral:lncRNA from 1 species